rnacentral:rRNA from 1 species
CAAAAACAUCGCCUCUCGGCACCCAUGAGAGGUCUAGCCUGCCCAGUGACAAAAUUCAACGGCCGCGGUACCCUAACCGUGCAAAGGUAGCACAAUCACUUGUUCUCUAAAUAAGGACUUGUAUCAACGGCACCACGAGGGUUAUACUGUCUCCUCCCCCCAAUCAGUGAAACUGAUCUCCCCGUGAAAAAGCGGGGGUACAACUAUAAGACGAGAAGACCCCAUGGAGCUUUAAGCCAAACAGCAGCUCAGACCCACAAUUCUCACAACACGCUGAGACAUGCAUAUCGGCCUUAGGUUGGGGCGACCGCGGAGCAAAAACCAACCUCCACGACGUAAAGAAUUAAAUCUUUAUCCCAGAGCCACUCCUCCAAGAAUUAGCAUACUAACGGACAAUGACCCGACUAUCGAUCAACGAACCAAGUUACCCUGGGGAUAACAGCGCAAUCUACUUCAAGAGUCCCUAUCGACAAGUAGGCUUACGACCUCGAUGUUGGAUCAGGGUAUCCCAAUGGUGCAACCACUUCUAACGGUUCGU